AAGCAGUGUUGCAGAACACCACGACACUGUUGUGGAAUGACUUGACAAAACUGAACUGUAGGACUCCUGUUUUGUACUGGUGUACGUUGGGGUGAUAUUAGAAUUUGUUUACAAACAUUUUCUAUUUCUUUUCAAGCUCCUGCUACGAUAAAGUUUUAUAUAUUUUUCUCUUUGGAUAAUAGCUUUUGUUAAGUGUGCAUUUCUCUUGCUCCCAUUCGUUCCUGAAUUCUUUUGAACUUCUUGCUGCUCUGUAGGUCACAGUUGGCUCUUUUGUUUGAAUUCCUCAAUUUCUUGGAUAGGUGAUCAAAAAUAGUAACCAGUUUUGCGCCUUUGCUUUGGCGCAUUACUUUCUAAGUAAGAUUUUCUAUGCUAAGUACUAUAGUUUAACAUUUGGACUUAAAUAUUUUUUUUUUUUUGUUCUAGCUUAAAUAGUUAUUUAGAUCUUAUAAUCAGCCAUAUUACAAUUGAUUCUAUAUUUGGCCGUAUUAUUUUGUAUGUUGGGACAGUGGAUUGCUAUCACUUAUUUAUAUUUUUUUAGGAGGCAUAUAGUCUACUUUUUUGGUGUAAUAUGUAAUGCUCAUGGUAAAUAUGAAUGGAUAUUUUUAGUUGGCGCAUAACAACUUAUUAGUUCUUGAAUGAUGUUGGGAGGGAUUUUCUUAAAUUGAAGCUCCACAAGGAGACACUACACCGGAAAUGCUUGAGAGCAGUGGCUCAUGCAUUCUAAAAUCUAAACCAACUGGAAUCGGGAUAUCUGGUAUUCAUAUCUACUCAAUUGAUAAUUUCUUCAAUGAAGUAAAAGUUCAUAAUUUUAUAUUCUGAAUUCAUUACUAGUUUUUGUUUCAUCCAAUUUCAGAUCUUCAGUUUGUGAGAUGCCUUGUAUGCAAUCUUGAGGUUUGUUCAGAUUUACGGGUAGGUUUUACGCUAUUUUUCACUAGUAAUAGACCUACAAGCUUUCCUUCAAUGGAUUUUAAUACAUGAGAAUAAUGCAAGCCAAAAAUCUGACCAUCUAAUUUUCAAAGUUUAAAGUUUUAAAAAUUAAUUAAUCCUUUAGUUUGGUUGAUGUGUUUUUUCACUUGUAUGACAAUGUCUUUACUACAUUUUGCCCAAUAACCAUUAAGUGUUAACUUAUUUUCUAUAGUAAUAUUAUUAUUAACAUUAUUAUUUGCCGGGGAUGGGAUUGUGGUAAUGCUGAUUCUUAAGAUUGUAAUUAGAUGGAUUUGCUUAAAAAUAAAAUGGUUUAUGUUGUUCCACAUGUGGGUUAAAUUAAAAAUGAUUUAUGUUGUUGAACCGUGGUUGAUUCAGAUUUAUUACUAGUAAAAUGGUUUCUAGUAUAAGUAAUUUAUUUUUUUAUUUAUUACAGAUUGUGGAAGGAAGAUCAGCCUCAGUAUGAGAAUGACGAACUGUAAGUUUCUUGCUUUCUAACUGUUCUUUUUGUAAUUGCAUUUUCCAUUUCCAUUAGUGGUUUACCUCUGCCUCUCCUUCUAUGGGAUAGAAACUGAAAUUAGGAAACUGUCUUUUCAGUGCUUGGGUUGACAAUGUGGGGACUGUUACUUUUAUGUGUAUAAAUAUAUAUAGAUAAUGUGGUGACUGGUACUUUUGUAAGGUCUCACUACAGGCCUUGAACAUAAGAACCAUUUAGUUGGAUCGAAGUACUGAUAUUAUAUUUUUGUUUUUGAUCCAGGUAUUAUACUUUCGCUUUUUAUAAACUUUCUUUAUAAUGAGUUGUCAUGAACACUAGCUAUGGAUACUAUCUAUAUAUUCA
rnacentral:lncRNA from 1 species